CUCUUCACUUCUUCCGUCCGUCUCGCUCUCCGGCAAAGACGAGGCAACCCGCCGCCACGCCGCCGGUGGCAAAAUCAUCCAUACAACGGCGGCAGGCUGCCGGCUUUUUCGCCCCAUCACCGGCGAAGUUGUACCACGUGACUAUGUAAAUGUCUUCAUUUCGGCAAAAUGUUGACAGCAUAAAAAUCUGACCGAAGCUUUCUGCUGAGGGCGAGCGGCGGAAGAACAGGCAGUGUCCUGCAGAGAAUCAUCCUCAUCGUCUUCAUCCAUGAGGUCCGACGUGAGGAAGGAGUCGGUGUCGGAGCCAUCACCCAAGGAAUCAAAUGAGGAAGAGAAGCCAGAGGAGAAAUCACUGUCAGAGGCCUCUCCUCCUUGGUGACCCAUCUCCUGUUUGUUGUCUGUUGAUGCCACGAAGUUUGCAAAGUGCAUAGCACAGCUGCUCUCGCCGGCCGACAUGGCCGCCGCCGCCGGCUGGCUGAUGCAAGAAGAUUGUGGCGAUGUUGUGUUCUCCAUGUGUAUGAGAAACUGCAAGCAGAAGCAGGCUAGCAGCAGUGAUAAAGCUUCUAGGUGGGUGUUGUGUUCUGGAUGGAAUGCAGGGUACGGCUCGUGCUGACCGUAUAUAUAGCUCCGGCUCCGGCUCCAGCGAGUGGAUAUGAAUGGAAGUACAUGAGCGUGAACUGUCUGUCAGACACUGGCGCCCGUUUUAAAAAUUGAGAAUGGAUGAAUCUUAUCGUUGUAAUGGUCUCUUGAUCGAGAAUAAUUCCGUGAUCGAUCAUUGUGACCGAUCAAUCGAUCGCCAUCAUGCAUAUUCUUUGGUGAUUGGGACCCAAGCAGCAGCAGCAGCAGAAGCAGUUGGGAUGCAUAGCCGGCUGGUGAUACAUGGAGAGCUACACUCCACCUACUUAUUGGUUCUACUAGUACUAUCUCUCCAUUUGUGCCACGUUUCUCUUAUUUGAAUGGGUUGAUAGAGCUGCUGUACUGGUGGUAACUGCUUUGGAUCCGGAGCUCAAGGGGUUACAUAUUCUAAAAAAUGAAAUCAAAAGUGCAUGCACAUGUUCUAAAAGAAUGUCCCACAUGUAUAUGUGGGAGAACACUGUGAAUCUACAAAGUUUU